CGAAGGUGGCAAGCGUUGUUCGGAUUUACUGGGCGUACAGGGAGCGUAGGCGGUUGGAUAAGCCCUCGUGAAAUCUCCAGGCUUAACCUGGAAAGUGCAGAGGGGACUGUUCAGCUAGAGGAUGGGAGAGGAGCGCGGAAUUCCCGGUGUAGCGGUGAAAUGCGUAGAGAUCGGGAGGAAGGCCGGUGGCGAAGGCGGCGCUCUGGAACAUUUCUGACGCUGAGGCUCGAAAGCGUGGGGAGCAAACAGGAUUAGAUACCCUGGUAGUCCACGCCUUAAACGAUGGAUACUAAGUGUCGGCGGGUUACCGCCGGUGCCGUAGCUAACGCAGUAAGUAUCCCGCCUGGGAAGUACGGCCGCAAGGUUG
rnacentral:rRNA from 1 species